rnacentral:rRNA from 1 species
AACGAACGCUGGCGGCAUGCCUAACACAUGCAAGUCGAACGAGACCUUCGGGUCUAGUGGCGCACGGGUGCGUAACGCGUGGGAACCUACCCUUAGGUUCGGAAUCACUCCCCGAAAGGGGUGCUAAUACCGGAUAAUGUCUUCGGACCAAAGAUUUAUCGCCUUUGGAUGGGCCCGCGUUGGAUUAGCUAGUUGGUAGGGUAAAAGCCUACCAAGGCGACGAUCCAUAGCUGGUCUGAGAGGAUGAUCAGCCACACUGGGACUGAGACACGGCCCAGACUCCUACGGGAGGCAGCAGUGGGGAAUAUUGGACAAGGGGCGAAAGCCUGAUACAGCAAUGCCGGGUGAGUGAUGAAGGCCGUAGGGUUGUAAAGCUCUUUUACCCGGGAUGAUAAUGACAGUACCGGGAGAAUAAGCUCCGGCUAACUACGUG